rfam:Camelus ferus unplaced genomic scaffold scaffold465, whole genome shotgun sequence.
GAGGGUAUAACUCAGUGGUAGAGUGCACGUGUAGCAUGCACGAGGUCCUGGGUUCAAUCCCCAGUACCUCCA